UACAUGGGGUGCAAACGUUGCUCGGAAUCAUUGGGCGUAAAGCGCGCGUAGGCGGUUAUCUAAGUCGGAUGUGAAAGCCCUCGGCUUAACUGAGGAAGUGCAUCCGAAACUGAAUAGCUAGAGUACGAAAGAGGGUCGCGGAAUUCCCGGUGUAGAGGUGAAAUUCGUAGAUAUCGAGAGGAACACCGGUGGCGAAGGCGGCGAUCUGGACAAUGACUGACGCUGAGACGCGAAAGCGUGGGGAGCAAACAGG
rnacentral:rRNA from 1 species